rnacentral:lncRNA from 7 species
AACCCAACCAAUAGGGUCAUGAUAGAUUGCAUAAUAUGUCUAUCUUCACCUAACCACAAACAAGCUUUUGACCUACAUCAUGUAGUCUAUUCCAUCCAUACCUAUCUUAACCAUAUUCCUCCACCCCGAUGAUAUACACUCACCGCGAAUCAAUGAAACCAAGACCGGAGAAGAAAAGAUCAACCUCGUCAAGGAAGGAGAGAAGUCAAACUCAACCUUCAGUUGCAUUGCCACUCAACACGGAGUUCUUUCUCACCAUAAACUUUCUUACCCCAGGCUAUUCUUGCCCUAACCUACCUAUCCUUUAUCCUACAUAAUAAGUGGCUAGGUAUAGAAGAUACCCAUGCAUUCCUAAUCAAUUCCUUAUAAAAAAACUAUUAUGAAAACAUGCGUGUUUAAAACCACUAAAAAAACACUCGAAGCUAAACUACAACCAAAACAUAUGGUUUUCUACACCACUUUUCUUACAAAUCUCGAGGACGAGAUUUCUGUUAAGGGGGGUAGGAUUUGUAACACCCUAAAGUUCAAUUUUGUGAAAAUAAGGAAAAUUCUUCAAAGGUUUUAAAUCAAAACACCUUUCCUUAAAGGUAUUUCGAAGUUACUCCCAAAAUUAAUAUAAUUUUUUUUGACUAAAAUAAAAGACACCUAGAUAAACUAAAACAUCCUUGGAUUGAAAUUAUAUAGAUGAACUAUGAUUAAACUAUUUUUUAAUAUAUAAUCUACACUAUAAAUUAUAAUUCCCUAAAAUUCAUGAGAUAUAAACUAUUCUCUAUUUUCAUGGUUGGAUCAUGUAUAAAAGAACUAAAAUAAAACAAAUAUAAAUAUAUAUAUAUAGUUUUGUAUUCAUGCUGGCAUUUUUAUUUGUGCAUCUAAAUUUGUUUCUGAAAUUCAAACUUCAUUACAAAAUAGAAUCAAAUCUGAAUUUGGAAUU